CUCAUCUCGUUGCUUGUUGUUUCUCUCAAAGCCGUGGCUUGGAUAUUGAAGGUUUCUUCAUGGUCUAAUAGGAAAUAUGAUGACUCUUACGUUAAUUUUUUCACUUGCUGCCUUUAGAAGUUGGAAGUUUUGGCAACUUGAUGUGAACAAUGCAUUUCUUUAUGGAAAAUUAGAUCGUGAUGUCAUCAUGGUACAGCCUCAAAGGUUCGUCUCCAAACAAUUUCCACACCAUGUUUGUCAGUCGAAAAAGCACUAUAUUGAUUGAAACAAGCACCAUGUGCUUGGUAUGGUAAAAUAUCUCAAUAUCUUAUGGUAAAAUAUCUCAAUAUCUUAUCUUUUGUGGAUUCAAAGCUUUAAAUUCAAAUUCUAGUUUAUUUCUGAAAAUAGAUUCAAAAUUGUAUUUGCUGGUAUUAUGGUAUGUUGAUGACUUGGUAAUUACUGGAAACAAUAAAGUUGAAAUUUCCCACCCAGGAAAUGAAUUGUCAUUUCGUUUCGAAAUGAAGAAUUUAGGUAAGGUUAGAUAUUUUCCUGGUUUGGAAAUUUAAAAUUCAGGCCAGGGAUAUUUUAUUUCUCAAAAGGUAUAUGCCAAGAAAAUUUUGGAACUUUUUGCUAUGGGAGAGUCACAUACAAUAGUCACUCCUAUGGAACCAUAGGUCAAGUUGAAGAAAGAUGAAGGAGAAUUAUUGAAGGAUGCCAAGAGAUUGCGACAGCUUGUUGGAAGUUUAAUAUAUUAAAAUAUCACAAGACCGGAUAUUACAUAUUCUAUUGGUGUUAUUUCUCAGUUCAUGUAGAAUCCAAGAGUUUUACGUUAUGGUGGAAGAACAAAAUCUAUUGAAGUCUAUCGCCACUUUGUCCGAGAGAAGGUGUUAAGUUAAGAAUUUGAGCUGAAAGGAGUUUGUACUAAUGGCCAAGUUGUAGACAUAUUUACCAAGGCUUUAACAAAUCCCAAAUUCGAGGAUUUCAAAAUUGCUCUUGGAGUUGUUGGUCAUAAGUAUGUAUAAGGGGGAGUGUCAAAAUUUAGUGCAUCUUAUUGCUGGUUUUUAUUAGUGUUAACUGCUUUGAAUAA
rnacentral:lncRNA from 1 species